rnacentral:hammerhead_ribozyme from 15 species
CAGGCGUCUAAGGUAGGUUCCCAUUACAAUGCCUUACUGACGAGUCUAGUAGUGAGGACCGGGACGAAACGCCAC